rnacentral:rRNA from 1 species
UACGUAGGUGACGAGCGUUAUCCGGAAUUACUGGGCGUAAAGCGCGUGUAGGCUGCUUCGCAAGUCGGGUGUGAAAGCCCUGGGCUCAACCUAGGAAGUGCACUCGAAACUGCGGAGCUGGAGUCCUGGAGAGGAAGGCGGAAUUCUCGGUGUAGAGGUGAAAUUCGUAGAUAUCGAGAGGAACACCGGUGGCGAAGGCGGCCUUCUGGACAGUGACUGACGCUGAGACGCGAAAGCGUGGGGAGCAAACAGG